rnacentral:lncRNA from 1 species
CCCCUAUUUGUUCAGUUUUUUCUCAGUUUAUUUUAUUCAUCCCUUUUUUCCUUUUAUUUUCAAUUUGUUUUGUUCUUUCCCAUUUUAUAUUUUUCUUCCCACUUUUCUUUUUUAAAACUCUUUAAACAAUUUUUUUCCUUACUAGACUGUCAUGACCAACUAAGCUUUCUUUUUCUCCGUCUAUUUAAUAAGACCACCAUUCGUUUUCUUUUUUCCUUUUCCAUUUUUUUAUCUUUCUUUCAUUUUUUUCCUCCCGGGUUCUAUUUUUUGGGCUUUUGAAAAGUUUAACAAAAAAAUUUGGGUCAAACCCUGGUGCCAAUGUGACCACAUGGUUACGACUUCACCCUUUUUUAUUUUUUCUAUUUCUCCUUAUUUUUUCCUUUGUUUGUUUUAUUCAUCCGUUUUUUUCUCAUUCUUUUUCAAUUUGUUUUAUUCUUCCCAGUUAUAUAUCAGUUCAAAUAUGGAUAAAUUUUUAGAGCUUAACAACGAUUAUUCUCUUAUAGUGAACUGAAAAACUUUUCUUUUAAUUCAUCGUACUUCAAGUUAUAUGAAUGAUGGCUCGAAAACUUGAUUAUCUUCACUAUCAUUUUAACUUGUAUUAUAAUAAUACUAAUUACAAUUGGAA